rnacentral:rRNA from 1 species
AACGCGAAGAACCUUACCUGGGUUUGACAUGCAAGUGACGUAUACAGAGAUGUAUAUUUCCCGCAAGGGACAGUUGCACAGGUGCUGCAUGGCUGUCGUCAGCUCGUGCCGUGAGGUGUUGGGUUAAGUCCCGCAACGAGCGCAACCCUUGUCGUUAGUUGCCAGCAAGUGAAGUUGGGAACUCUAACGAGACUGCCUGGGUUAACCAGGAGGAAGGUGAGGAUGACGUCAAGUCCGCAUGGCCUUUAUGCCCAGGGCUACACACGUGCUACAAUGGUCGGUACAGAGGGCAGCAAAGCUGAGAAGUGGAGCAAAUCCUUAAAGCCGGCCCCAGUUCAGAUUGUAGUCUGCAACUCGACUACAUGAAGAUGGAAUUGCUAGUAAUGGCGGGUCAGCAACACCGCCGUGAAUACGUUCCCGGGCCUUGUACACACCGACAUA